AUGAACGCUAGCUACAGGCUUAACACAUGCAAGUCGAGGGGCAGCAUGGUCUUAGCUUGCUAAGACUGAUGGCGACCGGCGCACGGGUGAGUAACACGUAUCCAACCUGCCGUCUACUCUUGGACAGCCUUCUGAAAGGAAGAUUAAUACAAGAUGGCAUCAUGAGUCCGCAUGUUCACAUGAUUAAAGGUAUUCCGGUAGACGAUGGGGAUGCGUUCCAUUAGAUAGUAGGCGGGGUAACGGCCCACCUAGUCUUCGAUGGAUAGGGGUUCUGAGAGGAAGGUCCCCCACAUUGGAACUGAGACACGGUCCAAACUCCUACGGGAGGCAGCAGUGAGGAAUAUUGGUCAAUGGGCGAGAGCCUGAACCAGCCAAGUAGCGUGAAGGAUGACUGCCCUAUGGGUUGUAAACUUCUUUUAUAAAGGAAUAAAGUCGGGUAUGGAUACCCGUUUGCAUGUACUUUAUGAAUAAGGAUCGGCUAACUCCGUGCCAGCAGCCGCGGUAAUACGGAGGAUCCGAGCGUUAUCCGGAUUUAUUGGGUUUAAAGGGAGCGUAGAUGGAUGUUUAAGUCAGUUGUGAAAGUUUGCGGCUCAACCGUAAAAUUGCAGUUGAUACUGGAUAUCUUGAGUGCAGUUGAGGCAGGCGGAAUUCGUGGUGUAGCGGUGAAAUGCUUAGAUAUCACGAAGAACUCCGAUUGCGAAGGCAGCCUGCUAAGCUGCAACUGACAUUGAGGCUCGAAAGUGUGGGUAUCAAACAGGAUUAGAUACCCUGGUAGUCCACACGGUAAACGAUGAAUACUCGCUGUUUGCGAUAUACUGCAAGCGGCCAAGCGAAAGCGUUAAGUAUUCCACCUGGGGAGUACGCCGGCAACGGUGAAACUCAAAGGAAUUGACGGGGGCCCGCACAAGCGGUGGAGCAUGUGGUUUAAUUCGAAGCAACGCGAAGAACCUUACCAAAUCUUGACAUCCUUUGACAACUCUAGAGAUAGAGCCUUCCCCUUCGGGGGACAAAGUGACAGGUGCUGCAUGGUUGUCGUCAGCUCGUGCCGUGAGGUGUCGGCUUAAGUGCCAUAACGAGCGCAACCCUUGUUGUCAGUUACUAACAGGUUCCGCUGAGGACUCUGACAAGACUGCCAUCGUAAGAUGUGAGGAAGGUGGGGAUGACGUCAAAUCAGCACGGCCCUUACGUCCGGGGCUACACACGUGUUACAAUGGGGGGUACAGAGGGCCGCUACCACGCGAGUGGAUGCCAAUCCCCAAAACCUCUCUCAGUUCGGACUGGAGUCUGCAACCCGACUCCACGAAGCUGGAUUCGCUAGUAAUCGCGCAUCAGCCACGGCGCGGUGAAUACGUUCCCGGGCCUUGUACACACCGCCCGUCACACCACGAGAGUUUGUAACACCCGAAGUCGGUGAGGUAACCUUUUAGGGGCCAGCCGCCUAAGGUGGGAUGGAUGAUUGGGGUG
rnacentral:rRNA from 1 species